UACGUAGGGUGCAAGCGUUGUCCGGAAUUAUUGGGCGUAAAGAGCUCGUAGGCGGUCUGUCGCGUCUGCUGUGAAAACUCGGGGCUUAACCCCGGGCCUGCAGUGGGUACGGGCAGACUAGAGUGCGGUAGGGGAGACUGGAAUUCCUGGUGUAGCGGUGAAAUGCGCAGAUAUCAGGAGGAACACCGGUGGCGAAGGCGAGUCUCUGGGCCGUAACUGACGCUGAGACGCGAAAGCGUGGGGAGCAAACAGG
rnacentral:rRNA from 1 species